GCACCUGAAAUCAAGUAAGAUGACCCGCUGGACUUAAGCAUAUUACUAAGCGGAGGAAAAGAAAUUAACAAAGAUUGCCUUAGUAAGGGCGACUGAACCGGCAAGAGCUCGAAAUUGGAAUCGGAGAUUCAAAGAAUCUUCGAAUUGUAAUCAGGUCCGCCUAAAUACGACAGUUCGCUUAAGUACGUCGAAACGUACGCCAUAGAGGGUGAAAGUCCCGUGUAGCGUUCAGUCGAGUAAGGGGGAUUCCAAAAGAGUCGGGUUGCUUGGAACUGCAGCCCUAAAC
rnacentral:rRNA from 1 species